ACGAACGCUGGCGGCGUGCUUCACACAUGCAAGUCGAACGGUGAAGCGCUUGCCUUUUUGGUGGGUGUGGAUGAGUGGCGAACGGGUGAGUAACACGUGAGUAACCUGCCCUCUUCUUCUGGAUAACCUCAUGAAAGUGUGGCUAAUACGGGGUAUUCCGGGUCUGUCGCAUGGCGGGUUUGGGAAAGAUUGCGCCUUUGGGUGUUUUCGGUGGGGGAUGGGCUCGCGGCCUAUCAGCUUGUUGGUGGGGUGAUGGCCUACCAAGGCGGUGACGGGUAGCCGGCCUGAGAGGGUGGACGGCCCCACUGGGACUGAGACACGGCCCAGACUCCUGCGGGAGGCAGCAGUGGGGAAUAUUGCACAAUGGGCGCAAGCCUGAUGCAGCGACGCCGCGUGAGGGAUGGAGGCCUUCGGGUUGUGAACCUCUUUCGCCAGUGAAGCAGGCCUGCUCCUGUGUGGGUGGGUUGACGGUAGCUGGAUAAGAAGCGCCGGCUAACUACGUG
rnacentral:rRNA from 1 species